rnacentral:lncRNA from 1 species
ACCGUGAUCACCAUUCUUUUCUCUACAGGUUGAUCGGAGCCGAAUCACCAAAACACGAACCUCGCCGGAGAGCCGCCGCACCCAAGAGCACCGCCGCCAGUACUAGUAGUGCGUUUCAGUUCCCCGGGAAAAAUUCAAAAAAAAAUUAGGGAUAGCCUGCAGGCGCACUGUAGAGCUGUAUUCGGACCCCGAACACAAGUAAGGAUUCCUCACCCUAUUUUUUAUCACGGUAUUAAGGUGCAAUAAAUGAUAAAUGGUAUUUCAUGAAUCAAUAGCUGUGUGAAAUUGUUUAAGGUUGCUGAUGGAGUCCGAGUCUAGUAUAUUUGUCGGUCAGUUGUUGUUUGUUCUAUUUUACAGUUUUAAAUGCAG